rnacentral:rRNA from 1 species
UGGGGAAUUUUGGACAAUGGGCGAAAGCCUGAUCCAGCAAUGCCGCGUGUGUGAAGAAGGCCUUCGGGUUGUAAAGCACUUUUGUCCGGAAAGAAAUCCUUGGCUCUAAUACAGUCGGGGGAUGACGGUACCGGAAGAAUAAGCACCGGCUAACUACGUGCCAGCAGCCGCGGUAAUACGUAGGGUGCAAGCGUUAAUCGGAAUUACUGGGCGUAAAGCGUGCGCAGGCGGUUUGCUAAGACCGAUGUGAAAUCCCCGGGCUCAACCUGGGAACUGCAUUGGUGACUGGCAGGCUAGAGUAUGGCAGAGGGGGGUAGAAUUCCACGUGUAGCAGUGAAAUGCGUAGAGAUGUGGAGGAAUACCGAUGGCGAAGGCAGCCCCCUGGGCCAAUACUGACGCUCAUGCACGAAAGCGUGGGGAGCAAAACAGGAUUAGAUACCCCUGGUAGUCCACGCCCCUAAAACGAUGUCAACUAGUUGUUGGGGAUUCAUUUCCUUAGUAACGUAGCUAACGCGUGAAGUUGACCGCCUGGGGAGUACGGUCGCAAGAUUAAAACUCAAAUGAAUUGACGGGGUCAUAGCUGUUUCCU